rnacentral:lncRNA from 1 species
GAACUAAACAGAAUAAGACACAAAAGAUAAAACUAAGCAAACAAAAAUACAACAAAAUUGAACUGAACAAAAAGAUGUAAAAUCAAAUUUUACUAAAAGAAAGGAUCCAAAGCCAUACUUGUCUAAUUGCCUCAAAAAGCCCUGGCCAGUCUUAUUCAUACUUUGUUCUACCACCUUUGAUUUUUUAGAAGCUUUUAUAGUGGACUCUAUCUAAAUAACCGCCAUAAGCUUUAUUUAGAGUUUAAAUGGUAGACUCCACCUAUAUAAUCACCCUAUACUCUUUUUAGAAUAUUCCAAAGUGGAU